rnacentral:rRNA from 1 species
UACGGGGGGGGCUAGCGUUGUUCGGAAUUACUGGGCGUAAAGGGCGCGCAGGCGGCUGCUCAAGUCAGGCGUGAAAGGCCUGGGCUCAACCCGGGAAUUGCGCUUGAGACUGGGCUGGCUUGAGUGCGGGAGAGGAUGGUGGAAUUCCCAGUGUAGAGGUGAAAUUCGUAGAUAUUGGGAAGAACACCGGUGGCGAAGGCGGCCAUCUGGACCGCAACUGACGCUGAGGCGCGAAAGCGUGGGGAGCAAACAGG